rnacentral:rRNA from 1 species
UAGUCCACGCUGUAAACGAUGAGAACUAGGUGUAGUGGGUAUUGACCCCUGCUGUGCCGAAGUUAACGCAUUAAGUUCUCCGCCUGGGGAGUACGGCCGCAAGGCUAAAACUCAAAGGAAUUGACGGGGGCCCGGCACAAGCGGUGGAGCAUGUGGUUUAAUUCGACGCAACGCGAAGAACCUUACCUGGGUUUGUACAUCCUCUGAUCGUCUGGGAAACCAGAUUUUUCCGGUCUUUGUCGGAACAGAGUGACAGGUGCUGCAUGGCUGUCGUCAGCUCGUGUCGUGAGAUGUUGGGUUAAGUCCCGCAACGAGCGUAACCCUUGUCUUUAGUUGCCAUUAUUAAGUUAGGCACUCUAAAAGAGACUGCCUCGGUUAAACGGGGGAGGAAGGUGGGGGAUGACGUCAAGUCCUCAUGGCCUUUAUAUCCAGGGCUACACACGUGCUACAAUGGGCUGUACAAAGGGUUGCUAUCCCGCGAGGGGGCGCUAAUCCCAAAAAGCAGUUCUCAGUUCGGAUUGAAGUCUGCAA